rnacentral:misc_RNA from 1 species
UAAAAUUUCAGGUUACAACUUACACCCUCCUUCAUUUUCAAGAAGGAAUUAAAAAAACCAAGAAGAAAUACAAAUUCCACAGUGAAUCCCAUUUUGAUACAAUAUUGAUGGGAUAAUAGGAAAAAUUUCAGAUAUUAAAAAUCCAAAACACUCUCUAUACCUUAUAUCUUUUUUAUUUUCUUUCAUCAGUUUGCACAAAAAUAGAAUUAACUGUGAAAUCAAAUACUUAGUACUAUCACUCAUCACUACAACAAAAGGAAAUAUUUUUUUACCUUCUUUUAUUAGACAAACAACAAAAACAUAACUAUACCAUUUUCCCCCUUCUUUAAGUCCUGACCAAAGGCGAAUUCAUCGGAGAGUGAGCUGGUGAGUUCAUGAACUCAUGAUCCAAUCUUCGAAACGAUAAGCUGAUCUGAAGUUUCCUCCUGCUGCAUUGUUUCUUAAUAGCAGCAAUGUUGUUAAGUCCCUUUGGCUGAAGCACAAAGUAACUUAUCCUUUUUAAUGCAAUCCUCAUCGUCUCGUCAUCCAUGUUUGCAAAACAAACUCUAAACCAACCAGGUUCAGAACAAUGAAAUGAACAUCCUGGUGAAACAUUAAGUUUCACUUCAUUGAUAAUAAUUCUCCAUAAUUCUAACUCACUAUCAAAUGUUGCUUCUUUAAGAAGCCUCCUUAAAUCCAUCCAGAAAAACAAACCAGCAUUGCUUUUCAAUGUACUAAUUCCAACUUCUGCUAGUCCUUUUGUAAACAUCCCCUGCCUUUCUCCGAGUCUUUCGGAACUCUCAGCAAUGAAUUUGUCAAUGAAUACUUCAUCAGACAACAUUGAUGCAAGCAAAUGUUGUGUCUGAGUUGAAACUAACCCAAAGCUUGACAUCUUUCUAGCAAUGUUUACUACUGUAUCGUUGUACGAGUAAACAAUUCCAACUCUGAAUCCUGGAAAUCCCAAGUCUUUAGACAAGCUAUAGACUAUAUGGAUCAAAUCUUUGUUGCAUUCAAUCAUAUCCUCAACUAUUUCAGAUACACUGAUGAAUCUAGGCUGAUCAAACACCGUAGCAGCAUAGAUUUCAUCGCAUACUAAAUGGAUGUUUUUCGAGUUGAUGAACGUUACAAUGUCACGGAGUGUGUCCUUGUCAAGAAGAGUACCUAAUGGAUUUGAAGGGUUGUUUAUAAGUAAGCCUUUUAUUUUGAUGUUGGAUUGUUGAGCUUUUUCAUAUGCUUCUUCCAAGGCUUUUGUAGUCACUUUGAAAUCAUUACAACUUUCACAAACAACUGGAAAUAGUUGAACACCAGUUCUCCAUCUCAAAUCUCUAUCAAAUCCUGGAUAAUAUGGUGUUGGGACCAAAAAGGCAUCACCAGGAUCAGCCAAACAAAAAGCAAGCAUUUCAUGAGCACCAGUUGCUCCUCCACUCAUUACUAUUCUGUUUGGAUCAAAUGUAACUCUGUCACCUCUCACUUUCUCCAUAAACCUUGCAACUGCUUGUCUAAACUCUGGCAAGCCAUGAUAAUCUUGAAAAAUUGCAAUAUCUUGGAAAUUUUCAGCUCCUUCAACAGUGCAAAUUGAUGCUUUUGGAUUAUUCACCACCCAUUCUUGGAUUAAAUCAAAACAAAGCUGAUUUUCAGCCAGACCCAUCUGAAUAACACCAGUAGGAUUAUCAGUUAGAUGAAAAGGAUUAUUUGCAUAAGCCUUCCAACCAUCAAAAUAAGGUGAAUUUUCCCCAUGACCAUCAUUUGUAGCUAUCUUUGAAAGAAGUUGUUGUUUUUGGUUAUUCUUUGAAAUAGACACCAUCUUAAUUUUCAAAAAAAGAAAGAACCAAAGAUUCUCAAAAAAAAUUGAAAUGGAUAUUUGCUAAUUCUUGUAAAAAAAAGAUCUUUAGUCUUUGA